rnacentral:misc_RNA from 1 species
AAAGUCGUAACAAGGUUUCCGUAGGUGAACCUGCGGAAGGAUCAUUAGUGAAUUUAAUGAGGGUGUUCUUCGCUCCGGCAAGACCCUUCUAUAAACCACAUUCUCAACACCUGUGAACUGUAAGGCGUACUUGGUAACAAGUUGUCUGCCCUUUGAUAAACGAUUAAUGUAACAAACGUAGUCUUAUUAUAACGUAAUAAAACUUUCAACAACGGAUCUCUUGGCUCUC